rnacentral:rRNA from 1 species
UACGGGGGGGGCAAGCGUUGUUCGGAAUUACUGGGCGUAAAGGGCUCGUAGGCGGCCAACUAAGUCAGACGUGAAAUCCCUCGGCUUAACCGGGGAAUGGCGUCUGAUACUGGAUGGCUUGAAUCCGGGAGAGGGAUGCGGAAUUCCAGGUGUAGCGGUGAAAUGCGUAGAUAUCUGGAGGAACACCGGUGGCGAAGGCGGCAUCCUGGACCGGCAUUGACGCUGAGGAGCGAAAGCCAGGGGAGCAAACAGG